GGCUUUUGCGUCAAUGACAGUGCAAUUUACCGUGCGUUAACGGCAGCGCGAGUGCGUCAAUGGCAGCCCAACUUUUCCCAGGUAUAUUCUACUCCUUUCAUUGACAAGAGGGGUUUGGUCUGAUGGUAACCAACCCUCACUUACAACCGAGAGGUUGUGAGUUUGAGUCUCCCCAGGAGCAAAUUCUGGAGAUUUAUGCCGGGGGUCUAUUUGGAAACAGCCUCUCUACCCCUGGGUAGGGGUAAGGCUGCGUACACACUACCCUCCCUAGACACCACUGAGUGGUAUUGUACUGGGUCGUACUUUUUUAAAGGUUUCUAUUUGGAAACCGUACACACUACCCUCCCAGACACCACUGAGUGCUAUUGUACUGGUACCUCUACUAUGUAUAACAUGUGUCUUGCCUUUGUGACUCAUAUUUAUCCAUACGAAUCCAUCUUUCUCUUUGGAUCUCGGAUCUUUUUUCAGAAGCUCUCAGUUUCUCUCUUUUUUCAGAAGGUGCUGCUUAAUCUCUCUUACGGAGUGAAUUCUUCUAGGUUUGUUCUUCUUCAUCCUACGGUAUUUCUUGCUUUCCCAAUUAUUAUUACCUCUCUUACAGACUGAAUUCUUCUGGGUUUGUACUUCUUCAUCCUACGGUAUUUCUUGCUUUCCCAAUUAUCAUUACUUUCUUCUUUUCUUACCCAAUAGGUUUUUUUGUGAAAUAAAACCUGAAUUUUUUGUCAAAUUUGGUAAAUGAAUCUUUUAUGCUAAUAGUUGCUACUGAGUGUUGGUAAAUAGCUGCGCCCGGAUCAUUUCUUAAGUAUGAAUAAAAUCACAAUUUGGUGGGUACGAAUCUUUCCUCUUCUUUUGAAUAGUUUCUUCUUAGAAUUUAACGUGUAUGCCAAUAAUAGUACCUCAAUUUGCACUUGCAUUAUGCCUUCUGGUCUGAUGAAAUUUGUCUUUUUCGUGACAUAUUCUCACUAAUUUACUGAACAAAAAAAUUGAAACUUUCCGAAUUGGGAGAUUGUACUUUGAAGUUUCAAAACAAACUUGAAUAUUAGAGUCUCUAGGGCAGAAUGCACGGAAUAGACGCAUUUAUAAUUUUUAACUAUUUAUAUAACAGAGUACAAUCAGAUAGUAAGAAAAGUAAGAAACGACAACAAUGUCUGACAAAAAUAGGACUAUUUGUUAGAAAUCGAUUACAUAAAAGUGUCAACCUUUCCUUUUAUGUGACAAGAAAAAAAAAGAAUGUUGAAUGCGGCUAUGCACCUCUUGUGUUUAAUGAAUAUGCCUGACUCAUAUUCUUUGUUUCAACUUAUGAUGGUACCUAUUGUAUCCUGAAAGUUUAGUCUUAAUAGUCAGGAUAAUAAUUCGCUAUGUUGUUGUGUGCUUUUUGACAAGAAUGAGGGUUUAAAACAUUUUGUAAUGGUGGUGAUAGAUCAUUAACAACUAGGGAAAGAUGGUUAUGAAGGUUUUUGGCCACCUUAAUUUUUUGGAUGCACAGGUAAAGUAAUGUGUUACUUUUUUUUAAAAGUUAUUUCUAACAAGUUUUGCCUUAUAGAUUCAGUUGAUAUUAUGUAAAUAUUUACAUCUAUUUGGAUUUGACAUUUUAUCUUUGAUUGGCUGUUAAGAACUUUUCUUCUGCAUAUAAAAUAUUAGUAUUUCAAUGACCUUGUUGUAUAUGAUUGGGAAGGUGGCAUUCUUGUGUUUACUAAGUAGGAGUUACUUUAUCUCCUUUUUAAUUUAUAGUUGUUUGCUGAUGGCUAGAAAGAAUUCUGUGUUUCAACUUUUAGUUAUCUGAUUUUUUCUUUUGUUGACACAUAUGAAAUCCACUGCAUAUUUUGAUAAGUGAGAUGAAAAAAUUAUGUGCCUUAGCCAUUGCAACAAUAACAAAGUCGCAAAUGUAAGUAAUUUACUUACAACUAUUUACUAUAGAAAGCAGAAUCUACACUCUGAUGGUUACCUAAGUGAAGAAAAGUACUAUAUGACUUUGAACGUGAGACAUGGCUUCGGACAUGAACAUAGAAAGCAAUAAUUACUCAUUCUAAUCAUCAUUGACUGACUGGAAUCUGAAUAGAAAUUUUUGAUUGAAAGGGAAAUUAGAUGAUUGGUCAAUGCGCUCUUCUUGCAAUUUGGCACAGGUUGAAUCGCAUAGAGCCAGUCUAAAAUUAUAUAUGAAGAGAUCUCUAGAGGUCAUAUAAAAUUUAUUCAUGUGUUGUAAAAAGUAAGCAGGUUAUAAAAUUAUUGAUAUCCAAAAGUUAUAUUAUGAGCUGCAAGUAUUUAGCUUAUGUUUAGGUCAUAUACUUACUCAUAUUGGAAAGAGAUCUUUUCUUUGUCUUUUUUACUGAUAUGAAGUUUUAAAAAUGAGACUAGACAUUGAUGACAUCCAAAGAAAAUCCAUGAAAUUAAAAGUGAAAUGUUAUAAGGUAGAAUCAUAUCUGCUAUAUAAUUUCUUAAGGCAAUUGGAUGGUUGUGCAAAUAUAAAUUUUAAUGUGACUAGAGUAUUAUUCUACUGAAGGACGAGUUGGUUACUGAACAAAAUUUUGCUUCAUAGAUAAAGUAUGCCAGUAAACAAGAGUUUGUAUCAAUCAAGAAGAGAGUGGGCUUACUGCUUUAUCGUGGAAAAUUAUUUAUUACUUUUCAAUGCCGCUAAAAGUAUGGUAUAUGUACAGUUCUUUCAAAACUGUUUUCAAAAGUUACUUGCAUCAUUUUGUCGAGAAGUAAUAAAACAAAUGAAAUUAAGAUGUGAUAGGCGAGGUUGUGACUCCCUUUGCAUCAACACUCAAUGUUCUCAGAUUAAUUUAAUUGCAGCUACAAUUUAUAUUUCUAGGACUAUAACCUUUUAUUACAAUCAUUAUUUUUUGUAUGAAAUGAUCUUGAGGACAUAUUUUUCCAUCUUUUUGACCUGAUCUAUUUUAGUUUUUCUGAAUUUACAUAUAGAAAUCAUAUAUUGGUUAAAAAAGGUGGAGAUUUUUAAUUAUUUUGUUUAUGUUUUAAUUCCUCGCAGCAUGAAGAUCAUAACUCUAGGGGGGAUAAAAUAAUAGGUAUGAAACAAGUGUUCUAGAGGAGAAGGAGACAAUUUGUAAUAUGAUUCGCAUUACUGCUAUGUUGAUGACUUGAAGGAAGGUUUAUAUCAUAAUCAACCAGGUUGGUCUACUAAUGAUUUCGUAUUUCCUAUUGAUUGAAAUCUUUUUCUCCGAUGUUGAGAUAGACAAGUGAUGUUAGUGCUUGAAGCAGGUUGCUCAAUAUUAGUUUUUUUUUUUAAUAUCUUCCAGGAGUAAGUUAGAAAAGUUAGGACUUGAGGUAUGUUUUAUAUUGUAUCUGUUUUAUUUUCCUUAAGUUUUAUUGUUUUAUAAUUUUUUCAAUAUGAAAAUGAUAAUAUAUAGUGGUUUAAAAUCGUGCCUUAGUUGUUGUUACAUAUGCCAAACUGACUUUAUUGAAAGAAUUGGGCAUGGCUAAAAUGAGACUUAGGCAGUUUGGGGAGCUUGAUAGGAAUCAGUGGAGCAUCGUACCUUUCGCACUUAACUUGAAUGUUCAAUCAAGUACAAUGUAUGAAUAAUGAUGCUGAUUUUCAAGUGAUGAUUCUAGAUUAAUGAUGAGUAACAUGAGUGGGAAUGCUUUUUGUAUGUCAAUAACUUUGAGGUCCUAAAAUCUGCCAAGAUUCAGAGCAAAGUUAAACUCACUUGCAAAAAGACUUCUGUUUUUCAUGUGAGGGUACUAUAUUCUUUUUUUUAAUAGGAAAUAUGACAAUGAUAUUUACGUGGAUCCUUAUUGAUUGUUCUUUCACUUUUCUCAUGACUAUCAUGUUUUGUAGCAAGAAACUGAUCAGUUUCUGCUUUAUAACAGUAGCUACAAAGAGACUAUUUAAUUUCCUUGGUGGUGGUGUUUUGUCUGAUUUUUUUUUUGUUCUUGAGCUUGGCUAAAAAUGGUCUGGUAUGUUUAACCAAUCUAGUAAGUUUUCUCAAGUAUUGCAUAUGGCAAGUUGUCAUCUUUAGAUGAUGCUGUCAUUUAGAUGUUGCUUUUGUUAUUUUGAUAUGAGGCUUUCCUCUUCCUUAUUGUGGUUGGGGCAAUCUACAUAUGUUGUUAUCUACAUAUGCUGUUGUCGUUUAGUUGCCCUUCACAAAUCAUUUAUUUAAUUCUCAUUUUCAGUUUUGCUUCUUGAUUGAAUGGAAUGUUCAAUAUGAUUUUCACAUUAUACUUUUCUUUUGACACAAUUAUUUUAGAAUUUCAGGUUAUAAUGUUGAAUAAUUUAGUUGGCAAAAGAGUUCAAAAUAACAAAAAAUUGCGGAAAUCAUUUGAAGAACCAUCAUUUGUCUAGAUUAGUUAUAUAAUGACAUUAAUUAUUUAGUCUAAACAAUAUAUUUUUU
rnacentral:lncRNA from 1 species